AGUGAACGCUGGCGGUAGGCCUAACACAUGCAAGUCGAACGGCAGCACAGUAAGAGCUUGCUCUUACGGGUAGCGAGUGGCGGACGGGUGAGGAAUACAUCGGAAUCUACUUUUUCGUGGGGGAUAACGUAGGGAAACUUACGCUAAUACCGCAUACGACCUACGGGUGAAAGCAGGGGAUCUUCGGACCUUGCGCGAUUGAAUGAGCCGAUGUCGGAUUAGCUAGUUGGCGGGGUAAAGGCCCACCAAGGCAACGAUCCGUAGCUGGUCUGAGAGGAUGAUCAGCCACACUGGAACUGAGACACGGUCCAGACUCCUACGGGAAGCAGCAGUGGGGAAGAUUGGACAAUGGGCGCAAGCCUGAUCCAGCCAUACCGCGUGGGUGAAGAAGGCCUUCGGGUUGUAAAGCCCUUUUGUUGGGAAAGAAAAGCAGCAGGUUAAUACCCCGCUGUUCUGACGGUACCCAAAGAAUAAGCACCGGCUAACUUCGUG
rnacentral:rRNA from 1 species